rnacentral:rRNA from 1 species
GAUGAACGCUGGCGGCGUGCCUAAUACAUGCAAGUCGAGCGAACAGAUGAGGAGCUUGCUCCUCUGACGUUAGCGGCGGACGGGUGAGUAACACGUGGAUAACCUACCUAUAAGACUUGGAUAACUUCGGGAAACCGGAUCUAAUACCGGAUAAUAUAUUGAACCGCAUGGUUCAAUAGUGAAAGACGGUUUUGCUGUCACUUUUAGAUGGUUCCGCGCCGCAUUAGCUAGUUGGUAAGGUAACGGCUUACCAAGGCAACGAUGCGUAGCCGACCUGAGAGGGUGAUCGGCCACACUGGAACUGAGACACGGUCCAGACUCCUACGGGAGGCAGCAGUAGGGAAUAUUCCGCAAUGGGCGAAAGCCUGACGGAGCAACGCCGCGUGAGUGAUGAAGGUCUUCGGAUCGUAAAACUCUGUUAUUAGGGAAGAACAAAUGUGUAAGUAACUAUGCACGUCUUGACGGUACCUAAUCAGAAAGCCACGGCUAACUACGUG